rnacentral:rRNA from 1 species
GAGUUUGAUCAUGGCUCAGAACGAACGCUGGCGGCAUGCCUAACACAUGCAAGUCGAACGAUGCUUUCGGGCAUAGUGGCGCACGGGUGCGUAACGCGUGGGAAUCUGCCCUUGGGUUCGGAAUAACAGUGGGAAACUACUGCUAAUACCGGAUAAUAUCGCGAGAUCAAAGAUUUAUCGCCUAAGGAUGAGCCCGCGUAGGAUUAGCUAGUUGGUGUGGUAAUGGCACACCAAGGCGACGAUCCUUAGCUGGUCUGAGAGGAUGAUCAGCCACACUGGGACUGAGACACGGCCCAGACUCUUACGGGAGGCAGCAGUGGGGAAUAUUGGACAAUGGGCGCAAGCCUGAUCCAGCAAUGCCGCGUGAGUGAUGAAGGCCUUAGGGUUGUAAAGCUCUUUUACCAGGGAUGAUAAUGACAGUACCUGGAGAAUAAGCUCCGGCUAACUCCGUGCCAGCAGCCGCGGUAAUACG